UUCGAUCAUGGCUCAGAUUGAACGCUGGCGGGAUGUUUUUUACACAUGCAAGUCGAACGGCAGCACGGACUUUCGGUCUGGUGGCGAGUGGCGAACGGGUGAGUAAUGUAUCGGAACGUGCCUAGUAGCGGGGAUAACUGGCUACGAAAGCUGUAGCUAAUACCGCAUAUCACCCUUCGGGGGAAAGCGGGGGACCUUCGGGCCUCGCACUAUUAGAGCGGCCGAUAUCGGAUUAGCUAGUUGGUGGGGUAACGGCUCACCAAGGGCGACGAUCCGUAGCUGGUUUGAGAGGACGACCAGCCACCUGGGACUGAGACACGGCCCAGACUCCUACGGAGGCAGCAGUGGGAAUUUUGGACAAUGGGGGAAACCCUGAUCCAGCCAUCCCGGGCGGUGUGCGAUGAAGGCCUUCGGGUUGUAAAGCACUUUUUGGCAGGAAGAAAACUGGCGCGGAUAAUCCGCAACUGACGGCACCCAGAUAGAACAAGCACCAUUAAACUACUGCCAGCAGCCGCAACAUUAUGGUGCAAGCAUCGAAUUCAUUGGUAAGUGCAGCGAUCUGAAAAGAAAGAUGUGGAAUCCCAGGAAGUUUUUAACUUGAACUGCAUUUUUAACUACCGAGCUAGAGUGUGUCAGGAGGGAGUGUGGAAUUCCGCGUAGCAGUGAAAUGCGUAGAUAUGCGGAGGAACACCGAUGGCGAAGGCAGCCUCCUGGGAUAACACUGACGCUCAUGCACGAAAGCGUGGGGAGCAAACAGGAUUAGAUACCCUGGUAGUCCACGCCCUAAACGAUGUCAACUAGCUGUUGGGGCCUUCGGGCCUUGGUAGCGCAGCUAACGCGUGAAGUUGACCGCCUGGGGAGUACGGUCGAUUAAAACUCAAAGGAAUUGACGGGGACCCGCACAAGCGGUGGAUGAUGUGAUUGACUCGGAUGGCAACGCGAAAAACCUUACCUACCCUUGACAUGUCUGAAUCCCGAAGAGAUUUGGGAGUGCUCGCAAGAGAACCGGAACACAGGUGCUGCAUGGCUGUCGUCAGCUCGUGUCGUGAGAUGUUGGGUUAAGUCCCGCAACGAGCGCAACCCUUGUCAUUAGUUGCUACGAAAAGUACCUAAUGAGACUGCCGUGACAAACCGGAGGAAGGUGGGGAUGACGUCAAGUCCUCAUGGCCCUUAUGGGUAGGGCUUCACACGUCAUACAAUGGUCGGGACAGAGUGGUCGCCAACCCGCGAGGAAGCCAAUCCCAGAAACCCGAUCGUAGUCCGGAUCGCAGUCUGCAACUUGACUGCGUGAAGUCGGAAUCGCUAGUAAUCGCGGAUCAGCAUGUCGCGGUGAAUACGUUCCCGGGUCUUGUACACACCGCCCGUCACACCAUGGGAGUGGGUUUUACCAGAAGUAGUUAGCCUAACCGUAAGGAGGGCGAUUACCACGGUAGGAUUCAUGACUGGGGUGAAGUCGUAACAAGGCCCAA
rnacentral:rRNA from 1 species